rnacentral:lncRNA from 1 species
UGUUUUGCUUCGGAUAGAAGCUCUACCUGCUUUUGUAGUUUUUCUAAUUUCCGCAGAAGGCGUUCUACCCUAUAACGUCUUCUUUCUUCUUCCUCGAUCUCGCAUCGAUGGCCACGGGAGAGCUCUGAUUCCUUUCUCCUUUUCUUCCUGGGCUUCGUCGUUUUUCGUGUUGGGGAUUUGCCUCAACGUGUUUCCCCAUGAUCGUUUCUUCAUAUUUUUCUAGCCGUACUUCAUGGUUAGCCGGUGUCGUUGUUACUGCGGCGCCAUUUGUUUCUUCUUCUUCCAGAGGUUGAGCUGAGAUUUCUUUUCCAGAUGUUGGGCUCCUAAUUUUCUCCUCCGUGAAUGGCUAUGUGAGGUCGAGUGAUGGAACGUUCACGUCCGGUUCACCAAUGUUGGAGUUCAUGUUCGAGGGAUUGGGUUUGGGUAGAAUAAUUGGGUCUUCAAGUUAGCGAGAGUUGGUAGUGGAGUAUGAAUUUCUUAUCCUCGCAGUGCAGCCGGGCGGAGACUUUUAUAGCUGCUUUGGUUCACUUAGAUCGCGGUAGCUGUCCGACCAGGUGUCCUUGUUGUUUUGACACCUGGUAGGUUAGGCGUCGGGCUGUAAUUGGGUGGGUAUAAAUGGUGUUUGACCCCUAAACACUAAUGCAAUUUCAAGUGAGUUUUUCUUGUCACUUGUGCAAUUUUAGGGUUUCAUUUCCCUAAAAAUUCAUCAUCAUCACUAUGUCUGUAAAUUUAAAUUUGCAAAUGUGUGAUACAGACAAUGAAGUAUGGACUAUUCAGUAAUAGUAUUUGACACUUCACUGACUAGUCAAACACUUGGGCUAUUGCAGUUUCCAUCAAAUUUAGAAAAGGAUCUAUCGAUCCAAGAUUACGGGCUUGUAGAAUAGAUUGGGUAGUUUGCUGACUGAGGUAUUAUAUAUUUGUAUUAUAGUUUGAGACAAAUAGAUUGAAAAUUAAUUUACACAAAAUCAAUAAUUCUAUGGGUUGAUCAUUGAGAGCAAAAAACACUAUCAAUUUUCUAAUUUUCUUCUUGUUCUUCAUGUUUUACUUCACUGCAGGCUACACGACUAAGGAUGCAGUACUAAGGAAGCUGAGGGAAUGAAAGAUGUGAUAGAAAAAGUUAAUAAACAAUUGAAAGAUCUAGUGAGUUUUGUUUUGAAAGGCAAUUUUAUAAAAUAAAAGUAGGCGACCUAUAUCCAACAAAAUAAAACAGUAGAUAGAAUGGGUGAUUAAAGAGAGUGAUUAGAUUGGCUCUAUUACAAACUUAUGCCUAAAGUAAAUCAUAAACUCACUUGUUAGUACAAACUAUUUUAAUUGCUAAUUUUUUGAAAGCAUUUUAAUUGAUAAUUAACUACUAUUAAUAAAGGAUACAAUUUUUUAGCUUCACUGGUAAUUUCUUCUCUCGCAAUGUCAUUCCUUCAGCUAAACGUGUUUGUAUUCCUUGAUCAAUCUAAUCAGUAAUUGAAUCUUGAAACUCCUCUGAAUCACUGUAGCAUUCUGAAUUAUCUAAAUCUUCUGCUGCAGAAUCCAAAUCCUCAGACUGUUGUUUCCUCUCUAUUAAUAAAAAUUUUAAUAUCUUUGUUGAUCAAUUAAUUCUGCUGGUAAUAUGAUACUCACUGCCAUACUAUCUUUUUUGCUCGAUUUAUAAUUUUUCUGAAUUAUGUAUUGACAACAUUUUUUUUGUGAUUUCUGAACACUCCCAUAAUAUGAGAUCAACUCACAUAAUUUUUCUAAACAUGAGAUCAACUCACAUAAUAUAAAUUAUAAAUCAAGUUUUAUUAAGAAGGUUGGUAGUUGUAUUAUAAACUCCAUCUACCUAUCAUUAUCAAACAGUUCUUUAUAUUUUUUACUGUCUUUUUUAA